AAACGUCGGCCUCAUUACCUAAAACAUCGGCCAGGCGGAGGCCGAUAUAAUUCGGUCAUUGCUCUGUUCUCAGCUCAUCAAUCGUCGGCCCUGAGUUGGUUCACGACCGCGGGCCAAUGCCGCGCUUGUCUGUGUGUGCGUGCCCAGUUAUUCAUCUCUUUUAGCCACCCAGAGAGAGAGAAGAGACUCAUCCCAGCGACAUCUGUGGCUUUCAGGUAACAUCACGACUUCACUUCAGCUAAAUAAAUAGAAAAAUACUACUUUGUUAAUUCUGUGACACUGAUAAGGUACUAGUAAGGCACGCUGUGUGUUUUAUACAGUUUAUGGGCAGCUGAAGAGACUGGCUCAUUUUCAAAUAAUGUUACCGUUAACUUGUUUAGCCAACGGUCACGGUAGCAAUUUUUUUUAAAUUAAUGUUAACGCCUUAAUGCGUUUCCAGCAGUUUCUCGGAGGGAAAAUGUAAAAGCGGUUUAUUAAAGAGAAGUCCUGACUGCUUUUUCACCGUGUUUUUCACUCUUUUACAGGCUGUCAGAAAGAAUCCGUCUCUAUACGGUGAGCUAUUGUUGCUGUUGCUUUCUGAACUACAAAAUGAGUUUUACAUUCAUUAUUGAGUAAUUCUUGAAUGAGACUGUAAAUUAUAAAUGUAAUGUUUUAACUCUAACUCUAGAUGUUUGUUUGUGUAAAUGCUGUAUGUGCGCGUUGAGUUCUGCGCGAGCGGGGAGCAGAGUUGCCAUGGAAACCGGGCGUCAACACAAAAAACGUUACUGGCCAGCAGUGAUCUCCGUCUCUCGCUGCGAUUUACACUGUUUUAGGUAUGAGGAAAGAAACUCUACAGAACAGAAGUGAAGCUCCAAGAUUUCAACAUUUCUGAAGGGAGUUACUGACUUAGAAAUACAGAUUGCUUGUUUUGUUCCUGGACUCUUCAGUGAUGAUGAGCAGAGUCUGAGUGAACCUGCUGUCAGACAGUGAGUACCGUGGGGUUUCAGUCAGGGCCUUCAGUAAACGACUGUAAGAUACCUGUACACAUCUCUGUUACAGCUAACGCACCUGUAUGUGUAAUGCACAUAUUAUG